rnacentral:rRNA from 1 species
UACGUAGGGGGCUAGCGUUGUCCGGAAUCAUUGGGCGUAAAGAGCGUGUAGGCGGUCCGGUAAGUCCGUUGUGAAAGUCAGGGGCUCAACCCUUGAAUGCCGGCGGAUACUGUCGGGCUAGAGUCCGGAAGAGGCGAGUGGAAUUCCCGGUGUAGCGGUGAAAUGCGCAGAUAUCAGGAGGAACACCUAUGGCGAAGGCAGCUCGCUGGGACGGUACUGACGCUGAGACGCGAAAGCGUGGGGAGCGAACAGG